rnacentral:lncRNA from 1 species
UUUUAUUGAUUUUAGACAUUAAUUAAGCUUUGAAAUGUGUUUAUGGUGGAAAUGGAAACAAAAUAAAUCAGUCUUGCUACAAAUCUUGAAAUCUUGACUAAUACAUUACGUCGGUACAUAACACUGAAUCGGUGUUAUCAUCAUCUGACCCGAAAAAAAAAAACGAAAAAUGUAAAAUAGUAAAGGAAAUUAUCUUUUUUUUUUUCUUCCAUUAUCUUCCAUAAAGGGUAUCUUUAUCUAUAUCAAAAUAAUUGGAGAAGAGAGAGAAUAUAGGAUUUGUUGAGAUUUCUCUCGAUCUCUCUUUCUCUCCCAUCCUCUUGGCUAUAAAAAGACACAACAGGGUCUCAAGUUCUUCCCACACAGCAAAGAAAGAAACACAUAUCGAUCCUAUAAGAGUUUAGAUCAAUGUUCC